UGUACAGUGAAACAAAGACGAUGAAGCUGUUCAGAGCAGUUUUUUACCAAAGGGAUACAGCCUGUGUGUCUGUUCUGAAGAACAAAUGCCUGCAGUAUAAAGAUAAACUCCAUUUUCACAGAUCUUUUGGUUUAUGCAAACUCUUCACUUGGGUCCUCUGACUGCAAGUACCAGUAUGGAAACUGCAGAAAAACUCGUCCUGUCUGCCGCAACCAAGAUGCAGGAGUUCUGGCGCCUGUGCUUAGUGUCUGACUGGUUAAGUGCCUCCCAAGACUCAAAGGUCAACAUCCAUGAGGUUCUAGAAGACACACUGUCUCAUAUCACAGCUGAGACUGUGAGAGCUGUGACUGACUGUUUGCUGAGCAUCUGCAGAGAGGAAACAUCAGAGGAUCUCCAGGAGUUCAGUUCAGAUGCACCUC